rnacentral:tRNA from 1 species
AAAGGGAGACCUAAUUCAGGUAAAAGACGAAAAAAAAGUAGUCGCUACCAAGAAUCAAUCCCAAAAGGUCGGAGCGAGGCGAACUUGGCUUUCAAACUAGGUUCUGGGUUCACACAAGACCUGAAUCAGGAACAAGGGCUAUUAGCUCAGGUGGUUAGAGCGCACCCCUGAUAAGGGUGAGGUCCCUGGUUCGAGUCCAGGAUGGCCCACCUGCACAGGUGGCAAAAACAAGAGAAGCUCCGAAUCAGCACCUUAUCUUACUGACAUAGUAAGAGAGAAUGCUGGCUCUGAGUAAAGAGUCCAGAGGAACCUUGAAAACUGCAUAGAGCUAGGUGAAAAAGCCAAAAAAGAAGACCGCAAG